rnacentral:rRNA from 1 species
GACGAACGCUGCGGCGUGCUUCACCCCUGCCAGUCGCACGGAAAGGCCCUGCUUUUGUGGGGUGCUCGAGUGGCGAACGGGUGAGUAACACGUGAGUAACCUGCCCUUGACUUUGGGAUAACUUCAGGAAACUGGGGCUAAUACCGGAUAGGAGCUCCUGCUGCAUGGUGGGGGUUGGAAAGUUUCGGCGGUUGGGGAUGGACUCGCGGCUUAUCAGCUUGUUGGUGGGGUAGUGGCUUACCAAGGCUUUGACGGGUAGCCGGCCUGAGAGGGUGACCGGCCACAUUGGGACUGAGAUACGGCCCAGACUCCUACGGGAGGCAGCAGUGGGGAAUAUUGCACAAUGGGCGGAAGCCUGAUGCAGCAACGCCGCGUGCGGGAUGACGGCCUUCGGGUUGUAAACCGCUUUCGCCUGUGACGAAGCGUGAGUGACGGUAAUGGGUAAAGAAGCACCGGCUAACUACGUG